GGAUUAGAUACCCUGGUAGUCCAUGCCGUAAACGGUGGGCGCUAGGUGUGGGGUCCUUCCACGGACUCCGUGCCGUAGCUAACGCAUUAAGCGCCCCGCCUGGGGAGUACGGCCGCAAGGCUAAAACUCAAAGGAAUUGACGGGGGCCCGCACAAGCGGCGGAGCAUGUGGAUUAAUUCGAUGCAACGCGAAGAACCUUACCUAGGCUUGACAUAUACAGGACGACGGCAGAGAUGUCGUUUCCCUUGUGGCUUGUAUACAGGUGGUGCAUGGUCGUCAGCUCGUGUUGCUG
rnacentral:rRNA from 1 species